GACGAACGCUGGCGGCGUGCCUAAUACAUGCAAGUAGAGCGCUCAGGGGGGAGCUUGCUUCUCCUGAUGAGUGGCGAACGGGUGAGUAACGCGUAGGUAACCUGCCUGUUAGCGGGGGAGAACUAUUGGAAACGAUAGCUAAUACCGCGUAAGAGUAGAUGUUGCAUGACAUUUGCUUAAGAGGUGCAGUUGCAUCACUACCAGUUGGACGUGCGUUGUAUUAGCUAGUUGGUGGGGUAACGGCUCACCAAGGCGACGAUACAUAGCCGACCUGAGAGGGGGAUCGGCCACACUGGGACUGAGACACGGCCCCGACUCCCACGGGAGGCAGCAGUAGGGAAUCUUCGGCAAUGGAGGGAAGUCUGAACGGGCAACGCCGCGUGAGGGAAGAAGGUUUUCGGAUCGUAAAGAUCUGUUGUAAGAGAAGAACGAGUGUGAGAGUGGAAAGUUCACACUGUGACGGUAUCUUAACAGAAAGGGACGGCUAACUACGUG
rnacentral:rRNA from 1 species